rnacentral:lncRNA from 1 species
CCCAUACUCCCCAGGUUGAUUCUCUUUUAUUGCAACCCCAUUGAUUCAUUAUUUAGUUAGCUUAUAUUAAUUAUAUGUUUAUUUAUAUUCCAUUUUCUAGUAGUUCAUUAGAUACACAUGGUCGAAAAAGGGCUACUUUCUAUUUGUGUUUAGCGAAAAGCAGCUUUACUUUUUCUUGAUUAUAGGCUGUUUGUGUCGGUGUUCAUUCCCAUGUUUCUUGUUUAUUCUUCUCUAAGUGUUCGUUAAGUAACAUCCCUAUGAGUUAGUAUUCUGAGUCAAGUUCAUUGCUACCUAUGCUAUUGAUACAAUCAAAUAUAGUAUGGGGUUCCAUAUGUCAAUUGAGGUUAAUCUGAGUCACCUCCAAACACAGCUCUUAUAGUAGUACCACUUAUUCUUAUAUCCUAUAGGGGCGUUAAUUCCUCUAGUGGUUUUGUUGGCUAGCAAGUAAGGCUUGUGAACCGAUGCGGAUAGUCAGAUUUCAUCCCCGGUGCGUUGAGUCAGACUUUUCUUACUGAGCUCACUGCCUCCCUCUGGAUUCCAACUCUACUGGGUCAUUCCCGUACAGCUUCUUUUGGUUCGUGUACUCCUUUACAUUGGAUCCUUACUUUCUAUCGGUAUCCCAAAGACAUAACUUGUCAUUACUCUUAAUAACCUAUCUUAUAGCUCUGGUCUUAUAGCUUCCGAUCUUCUAGUUCGAGGCUAAUUGAUGGUUUCAUUCUGAUUAGUAUAAACAGUGGUUCCAUUCGUAUUAGUUCUACUUUUUCCUUCAGUUUAUUGGUCGUGUCAGACUCCACCCAGUAAGCAAGACUCUAAGAAGUCACUCUUGAUCUUAAUGUACUCCCCAGCUACCCAUAUUUUGGACUUAUUAGUUUGAUUCCCGAGUUCCAUUAUUGAGUUUCGAGCCGAAUUCCUAUGUUCUGCUUUAAGUAUUGCUUUCCCUAUUCCGAUUCUUCCCCAGAGGGUUAAGCCUUAUACUUCUUAGCUCAAUUCUUAUCGACAGUAGCAGAAUUCCGGAGGCCCAAACACCACCACACUAGUUGUUGGCUGACUUUCCCCGCCAUAUCUCUGGUUUUAGUCGGAUACUUAGGAGUUGAUUGAGUUCGGACUUCCUACCCCGGCAAACCAUUCCUAUAAUAAUGAGUGCAAUUGCUAGUUCCCAGUGCGAGUAUUUUCCAGUAUAGCUUCAUUCCUAUCAGCAACGGUUCUAUUCUCUUAUAUAAGGAGAAAGUAUGGAGUUCCUUGUCCGUAUGCCCUUGUUACAUCCUUGUAUGGGGUAGUUUUCUUACUUGUUCCCGGGUUUAUUCCUAUAAGUAGUAGCUCCGUUCUUAAUAGUCGUAGGUGGGGUUUAAAGGCAAGGAAAACAUACUAAUAGAUAGGAAGGUAAGGCUCACUGGCAGGAGACAUAGGCUCAUAGGUCGCGGGUGUAAGCUUAAUAGACAGCUCAAACGCUUUUAGAGUAUAAGUCUUUACUAAUUGAUGAUUUCCUUAUUGUAAGAUAAAGUAUUAGGAGCACUGGUUAUAGGCUCAUAAGCUGUAAGACAAAGAUCCAGAUCGGUAGUCCAAGAAUACAAGUAGGAAGUUUCGGACCGAAAGCAUGGAGUAAAAGAGUUAGAACCGGGCAAGUAAGCUUUGGGUUCAGGGAAAGCAGACUUCGAACAGGUAGCAGGGGGCUUUAUAGGUAGUGAAGCAAGGGUGCCGGGAAGGAGUAUUAGAAUCAAAGUCACAAUCCACAGAAUAGUAGCUCUCGGCGCCUAUAGUAAGAUAAAGUCAAGUAAGGUUCCCAGUUAGUCGUGUCAGUUUUCAAGCAAUAGGAGUAUACGAGUGGACAAGUGAACUACUAGAUUCAAGCUAAGGGUAGGCUAACAGCCCAGAGGGGAACGUUAGACUCAUUGGCAUCAGUUAAAGAAUGCAAGUAAGUUGCGGAAGAGCGCUUGGAAGCGGGGUAAGGCAGUCCGUUUUGUAGUGAAGAGCGACAGGCUACUCGUUUGAAAUACAUAAUUCCAGAAGUAUAAGUAGCGGACUAAUUAAGUAAUAGGCAUCAGCCUUGUUUGCCAUUUUGGUUAUCAAUGAUCGAAUUCCCAGUUGCUUUUUCAAGAAUUAUAGAUAUAUUAGCUCGAUCGCUUUGUUUUGAGGUUAAGGUACAGUGGAGCAGGGUCCCAGGUCAGUAGCUUAAGAGUGAAAUGAAUACAACGGGUUUAGUUAGAGCAGUGUGAGUUUGGGAGGUAGGCUCAUAGGCCCGGUAUACAAGGGUUCAAGGUGUUGCAUCUUUUUCAUUAGUUUUGAAAGAAUAUGCGGCAGACUAAGAGGAAAAGCGGGACAGCUUUUGGACCAGUAGCUAAAGAAUAGAAGAAGGAUAUUUAAGGCUUAGCAUCAGUAGUAGUGCAACCUAUUAUAUUAUAGGUCGUAUAUAAGCUUUCAACGGGCAAGCGAGGCUUAAGCGAGUAAGGACAGACUCACUAGAAUCCAGUAGUCAAAGAGUGAGGUCGGAUCCACUAGAGAAAGAAUGAAAGGCACUAGGGCACCGGACUAACGCGCAACAUGAGUAGUAGCUUGUUGAAUGCAAAUACGGCGGGGGAUAGUAAGCAUAAAAGCCAGUAGUAAAGACAGGUGCAUAGUCGAAGUCAAGCUUUAAGGCAAUGGAUGUAAGAACCAAAGCAAAGGGAUAUAGUCUAAGCUGUAGUAGAGCCGGUUUUUAUGCCAGUGUUUGAAGAGUCAAAGUCCUUAAGGUCAGGCUUCAAAGCACUAGUGGAGUUCUUUUGUUUACUAGCUCGGUUCUCACUUGACCAAACCCAUCUUCCUGCUCGGCUUGACCCAACCUAUCUCUCUGCUCUCAUUAUUGCCCCUAAGAAUAGUAUGCUUACGAUUAGUAUGCUUACCAGGUGCGCCCUAGCCUUAGAGCUCGGCAUCAAAGAGUGAAAGAAGCAAGUAGAAGACUUUAAGGGGGGCGAGCAUAAGCAAGACUGCCCGGCGUACCCUAAUUCUUCUAUCUCUUUCUUCUGAUACUGGCGCCGCUGAUACUAAUACAGAUUACUACUCCUUCUGCUCUUUAUUCUUAUUAGAUUAUCUUAAAGUAGAUUAUAUUGUAUACAAUUGAAUUCUUAUUUGUCAUAGAAAAACGAUAUCUGGAAUUGAAACACAUCCACCCAAAGGAGAAACAAACAAACCCACCCUAUUGAUUGAAACCAAACCAAAGUAGGGCAAAAGAAAACCCUAUAGCCACCUAACCUAGAGCUACCAUUCACUCAGUCAACGGGCGAGGCGACAUCACACCCGCACAAGAGCUAUCGAGUGAAAUAGAAAUAGCAGUUGUUUGCUACUUAAAGAGAAAACGAGAGCUGGUUUUGAACCCGAAAGAGCUCUGCCUUUAACUCACUACCGCACCAGAACACAAAACUUAGUAAUAAACAGACAAUAAAUACCGAUCUUCUCACUUGGGCAAAAGCCUAUAACUGCUGCUAACUAUACUCGAACUACCGAGCCAGAUCCUUACUACGCUUACUUCUAUUCUUUAUCCACUUGACCAGUAAUCCUCACUUUCCAAACCAAUACCCUUGUCUCUUAGCCCACUGCUACUUACUUUCAGGCUUAGCAUUCUAUCUUGCAUUCUAUCUUGGUCAUUUCAUCAUUAUGGAAUUGAGUAUUCAUUUCACUCAUAUUUAUGAGCAUGUGAGGUACGUCGUACGGAACUAGACUCGAACCCGUGAAUCCAACAAACUGAUAGGAAAUCCACUAUUGCUAUUAGGAUGACCCUCCCCUACUUGCUUGAAUACUGAUGUCAACAAUACUUUGACUUAUCACUAGGGAAACUGACUAUAAGGGCUAACUCUCACUCUUUACUUAUGAACAGGAACUGUCAACUUUGAACUCACACCCGAAACUGACAAUAAGGGCACCGAACUACCCUUCCUCUCUAGCCCGAACUCCCCUUUAAGAACCGACCCGCCAAACUUGUAUAGUACCAAACUCACCUCAAUACUAGACUUAUUAGCUAAUAACAAAGAUGCUAAAGAAGAGAAGCUACAUCCACUACCUUCACCCUGACAGGCUAAGCGGAUGAGCGUACCAAGGGACUUACUGACCAAAGCUGCUAACUAAUGCGACUCCAGACAAUCUACAACUCUGGAUUCCUCGCAACAAACAAGCUACCAACAAGCAACAUUGAGUAUAGAAUCAAUAUGGUAUAUAUAAUAUGAAAACACUUCUAUACUAACUAUAGGUGUCGCGCUCACGUAUGAGUUAUUAGAGUUCGUUGCUUCUUUGUUGCGCUUACUGAGUUAUUAGGAAACUGAAACCACCUUACUGCAGUAGCUGUAGUAGUAGCAGUAGGAAUAGUGGCCAAAUAUACUUCAUUCAUUCGUCUUAGUAGUCUUAGUGAUGUAGUAUACCUUCGUUACCUUCCCUUAGUCCCAUGCAGUAGUCGGAUUACCUUCGUUACCUUCCCUUAGUCCCAACACAGCUGACAUCAAGCAUUCCUCUCUUAAGUAAUCCCUUGAGGCGAGAUAAGCCUAAGACCUGAUAAUGCGGCAUCCACCCACCCGCUUUAAGGACCGAGCUACCCACAUUGAAGGUGCUGAAAGUCUAACUAUUAACAAUAAAUGAUUUCGGCAUCUACCGUAGCGCAGACCGAGCCACAUUGAAUGAAGGUGCUGAAAGUCUAACUAUAACAAUAAACGAUUGAAAGAUCUAGCUUGUAAUUAGCCAACCCUUCUCUCUAUCACUCCUUUGGAGGAAAGACCGGUAUAAUCAUUCUCUAACGCGAGAAAGCAACUACUUGAACAAAGAAAGAAGGCAGGCAGCGAGGUUAAGGAAUGCUAUUAAGACUCGAUUUAGCUACACCUUAUAGAGCUCCAUUAAGCCAAGCAAGAAGUCAAUUGUGGUUAUAGUAGCUAGCUCAAUAGCGGAUAGAGAUGCAGCCUCAGAAGCCGAAGCAAGAUCCGGUGAGGAAGCUGUGCGCAAGCAAGUACUAAUAUUCUACGGGUAUUAUUAAGGGUCUUCAUGAAAGUAUAGUUCCAGAAUCCGCUGGUAAAGAAUCCUUAUAUGUUUCCUCGGCGCGUAAGGGAGCUCGUUAAGUCUUUCUUUAAGUUGAAGCAUAGAUCCAAUUCAGAACUGGAAGUAGGGGUUGGGCAAAGGUCAAACAAUACCCAUCCAUCUAAUCUACCUCAGGCAACAAAGACAUAUGAAACAAGGGGUGAAAAGACAGAUUCCACUCUUCCUCUAACUGGAACUGGGGAUUCCACUCUAAAGUCACUACUAACCAAGCAACUACGAAGGCCAAGUCGACAACAACACUAGUUUCUUUCGCAACGUCUUUCGAAAGGGCUCAAACCUUUUCUUAUAGUUUCUAAGCACCAAUACGGGCUCAAACCCUUUCUUAUAGUUUCUAAGCACCAAUACUAGACUUGACUCGAAUUCCAUACUCUCCGCUUAGUAUUGCAGCCCGAACUCCCGUAAGUAAAGAAUUAGAUUGAGCUGAUGCUGAUGCAUGACGUCUUGUUUACCUUGUCUCAUUUCUAUUUGACUCUCUUGCUCUUGCUGGGCAUCUCAUCUUUUCUCUCUUAGAACUCGUAAGUCAAACAGGAAUCUUUCUUGCACCCGACGAAAACAGGACAUUCUCUGGUCGACUUAGCGCUUGCAGCAGAUUUCCUUUCUACAGCGACCUAAACUCAUAAGUCAGAAUGGAAUGGAAGUGAAGAGCAUCAGGUGGGUAAGUUAUCUUCUUCUAUAAUACAUACAUAAUGAUUCUUUAGUCCUAAUCUAGAGCGGCAGGGAGCUUAGAGACAAGCUACGUAGUUACCAAGUGCUGAGGCGUUCAGUUUAGCGAGGAAAAAGGGAUGCAGUGUGUGGUUAGGUUUACUCAUAUCUAUCUUUCUUGGUGGGGGCGCUAUCAAAUACUCUUUCCUUCGAGUUGAGUUCACGAAAACAGUACUUAUUCUGUGUCCUGCGGCUUUAUUCCAUAUUAGGAACUACGGAACGCGCUAGAUUCAAUUAGUUCUCUGUCUUCUCGUAAAGAAACAAGUAAAUAAACUCCUUCCCUUUGAUUUGGAAUUGAACCGCUCGUCGACAACACUGGCACCCAAGGAGACUCCACCUUAGUACACCGCUUGCAUUGACUUUCCGCUUGCUUCAUCUCUCGUUGACUUAACUCGCACCGCUACUGCACCCAAAACUAUUACUACAACUCGCUACCGCACCCCAACCAAAAAGUAUUACUACUUGCUUCUGUCGCCUGCAUCCUCACUGACACUUCACUUUAAUGCAUUGAUUGGACCACUACAAGGGGCUGAAUAAGGCCAGCAACUACUCAUUAAGUAAUUAAGGGAAAGCACUACUCGGCACAGAUAUAAUUCCUGAGCUGGGCGCAUUUCUUUAGUUGGGUACAGAAAGAUGGAUAUUCGAAUUAAUAGCAGUCAGGUUACUUACUUACAUAAGUUGUUGUGCACAUUCUUUGAUUUCGUCUUGUGCCCUAGAGAGAGAGAUAGUUUGAAAGUGAGAUUCUUUCUAUUGGUGCUAUUGGAGUUGCAGGGUGCGUUGAGCCAGCAGUAACCAGUGAAGGAAGCAAUGCUGUUUAGAGUAAGGGAAGUGAAUCAAUUGUAUACUUUGUCGUUCAAUUCCAUUCUAUAGUUUGCUUUCCAGAGUUAACCUGUGCCCUUAAGUAAUUGCCCGUGUUUUAGUGAGUGACUGAGUUAGUUGUUUCAUGAAAUACAGUAACUUGGCGCCUACUAGCUAUGUCUUUUAAGAAUCCUACUUGCUAUGUGUUUGUUUGUGAGUUCAAAGAGACAGAGCCAGGGGUUUAGGAUCAGAGAAGAGCCAGCCCCUCUUGCUACUCGGGAUGGCGCCCUCAACUCUGGUAUGGAAUUGAAGUUAAGAGCACAGAGGCAGCGAGGGAAUCAAAUUCAAGUUGUUUUUGUUCACAGAGGUAUGACAGCAGGGCCGCUCUUUCUCUAGCCUAAGCUUCCUAUGACUUUCAACGAGCAUCCCUACUUUCUAUGAGCCUCAUUCAGGUAUCAUUCAACGAGCAUCCCUACUUUCUAUCUUAACUACUGGAAUUCACAGGAGCAGUAGUACCGGAGUUACAGAGCAAGAGGGUAAAUCUUAUAGGCAGAAAUGACUUAUAAAGACAGUUUCUUAGCUUAAUGGGAAAUACUUCUAAAAACAUCUUGGCGAUGAGAAAUCAUGCUAUUUUAGUGUAUAGAAAUGAGUUACCUAACUGCAUCUUUAGUUGGCGAGGGGGGGAAGCCUUGAGACAGUAGUUUCAGAGUGACCUAAGGCUGAUGGGGGAAAGUCAGAUGUGAGAUCCGGAGUGUCAGUUUGCUAGUAAGGAGUAGCUUGGUGGACUGGAAGUAUUAGGAUUGAGUGCCCACUAGCAGAGUCUUAUUAGAGCUCGGGUCAUACAAGAAUGAAAGCAGAGUCAUCAUUGCAUAGGAAUCAAUGCGUGGUUUGCAGGGGUAUGAGAACCGACCUCGUCCAUUAGCUUGCCCGACCCUAGGGCUACCUAUUUACAACCCUAUGAAUGGAAACUAAGAAUGACAGAGGAGAGUUUCAGUUUGCAAGUAAACAUCCAAGUUUGCAAAUACAGAUGUGAGAUAAGGAGUCUAUAACGCCUCAACACCGACACAUAGAAACAAGGAAUGAAAACAGAAAGUAGGAAUUACAGAAUUGAAAGCGAGGAGAGGUUUAGUUGAAAGUACGAAUUCAGGUAUAAGAGAUGCUCUAGUCCAGAGGAUAGGUUUUACUAAUUUCUACUAAUUUCAUAGGCAGAGUCAAUUACUGGCUUUGAAGCUAGGUAAGAGAUCUUUGUUGGCAAGAAAUAAGUAAACUAGUGAGUGAAAUACAUUUCAUACAAGAACUGCGGAGUUGCUGUAAGUCCAGACUACUACUUGUUGGGGCAAGAACCACAUUUGAAUAACAGACCUCCACUCCAGGCAUCUAGAAAGCUGCCCUUGAGUCACAGAAUGAAACUAAGAACUAUAAGUAAGGUAGAGAAUAACUAUAUGUAAGGUAGAGAAUAACUAUAAGUAAGGCAGAGGCCAUUAUAGUAAGGCUCUAGUUGCAUUCCCUGUUCCUGUGCUAAAGUAGGGUUAGGGUGUUGUAGUCAAAGAAUGAAACCACUAUUGCAUCUAGUUUACUUACCACAAUUAGUACAUCUGAUACUAACCCACCGGAGGCUCACUAAUGAGUAGUUGAUUGGCGAGAUGAAUUAGGAGAAUUGCCUGUUCCAGGCGAGGGAAAGUGGAAAGUUUCGUUGAGAGUGUUGGUGCUCUAGCCCUAAGUCUAGUAAAGUUGUACUUAGAAGCAGUUAGAAAGCCAAGUUCGGGACGGGGUUGCCCUUAUAUCAAGUCCAGUUCAUAAGAAUCAAACUAAUAUUACCAAGAAUCAGAAUUUCACCCUUAUUAUAACCCGUAACAGAAUGAACAGAAUCAUUAGGGGUAGUGGUCUCGCUUUCGAUAAGAUCUGAUAACUUGACUUGGUAUAGCCGGUUUUCUUCUGUAGUUUUCUACCUUCCGUAGUUUCUUGUCUUUGAGUGGAAUUCUUCCUUUCAAGUUGAGAGCGCAGUUACCCUCUUAAUUGACUUUCACUAACUUAUACUUACCAGUUGCAUUCCGUAUUUGUUGCUCUAGUCGCUGGGUGUGAUAUUAGAGAUUCCAAAGCAGCUUCUUAUCUCGGGUGUUAGAGAUGAUAAAGCUUGUAUAUUUAAGGAUAUAGAAAGGCAAGUCUCUUUCCGUUCUUGAACCAGUAAAGAAGCUAGUUCAAAGGCUAAGGAUACCCCUUAUAGUAAAUGGCUAGUCUAGUCCGUUUACCAAACCCCGGGCAAAGUGAAAGUAUACUUAUCCUAGAAGGGACCUUCACAUAGACAUAGGUGGACGGGUGCAAGUACUGCUCUUGUAAGGAGUGAGUUUACUUCAAACUGUCGGAAUUGAGAAACUAAGAUUCCAAUAGUUGCCCUUAUUUUAAGUCGCAGAGGUUGCCAGCAGCUUAGCUUGUUUCAAGUUUCCAGUGGAGGUCAGUUAGAAAAGUGGAGUGGAAAGUAGAGUUAAGGGGGAAAGUCCUGUGUGCAAGUUCAAUUUAGAAUAUACCAACACAGUAGAAGUAUAGUAUAAGAAAACAUAGUCUAAUUUCAUAUAGGAGAAAGGAUGAAACAAAAGAAUAGAUUGAGUCAGCUACCCCAGAAAAAGGAAAGGAAUGGGAGCUGUGCCAAGCCUGAGUGAAAGCGUUAGUCCGGCCUUGGUUCAUUCUUGCAUUCAGUAAAGGAGAUAGUAUUAGUGAUUCGGGCCAAGUAACAAGAGUAGUAAAGAGGAAAGUAGUUUCAUUAUAAGUGUAAUACCAGCAAGCCCUAUCCAUUUGACUUAUUGAUUGAAUUCUGUGUUUCAUAUCCGUAUUUGUUUACAGAGCCAGAGAAGAGGAGAGAUUCUCCAUUAAGUACUGGCUCGGGUGCUUGUGUUAAGCAUAGAAUAAAGCUAUCUCCUUUUUAGGCUUGGCCCCUCCUAAAUGAUGGAUUAUCUUUAUAUAUGAUUCCACUCGGGAAACUCGGUCUUCUACUAAUUCUACUAGUCGUUGCUUGUCUAUCUGUUCCUUGGCUGAGUGUCUUGGCUGUUAGAGUGCAUUUGAAACCCAUAUCUGUAGGGUCGGUAACUACCCUUGUGCUAGUGCUCUCAAGUAGGAAAGGAAGAAUAGAAAUAGAAUCAUUAGCCAGAGGGGACGAACUGUUGCUGAGCUAUAAACAAAAGAAGAAAACCGGCUUCUGAACCAUGUGUGCAAGAUAAGAAAGUAUUGACUCGGCAUAGAAGCGGGAAGGAACUCAACUUCAAGUCGAGGUAAGUAAGCAGUUAGAGCAGACCUGUAGUUAACAUCCACUCAGUCAGGGAAUGUGCUAGAUGUCAAUGACAAUGAAGUAUUAUUGGUGCGGGUAUAAGUGGUGGAUCGAAUGCAAGGGAAGCUAUGAAAGCUAUCCGGCAAGGAAGCAAGCUUGAGUCGAGGUCGGGGUUAACACUUAUAAGAGUGCGGGUAGGGCUUUCCCCUUGUAAUAGAGUUUAGGUCGGGCAGGUACGAAAUACUUGUUAGUCAGGUUGACUUACUUGCUAGUUAGGGUGUGGGUAUGGCUUGGCUUGUGUCAUUCUGUAUUGGUAGUCAGAGGAGAGUCGACUUGCCUAGUGUCUUGGCUGUUGCCAUAGGUAUGGUUAUCGGAGUGAGUUUGUUAGUGUUAGUAGAGGCUUUCAGCACCUUGCUUCUUUUCAUUUCCAUUGGAAUGUUCUGCUUUUCUACAGUACAAAAGCCUUAUGAAUUAGUAUUGGAAAGCUCUUUCCUUUCCUUGCAUUCGGCAUGGUUUUGGGACUUAGGCGGAGCCGUACCUUUACCUUCUUGGGGUUUAGGCCGAUACUCAUGUCUAUCAAUAACAGCAACUGGGGCAAGUGAACUUUAGCUAUGAAUGGAAUCAUGGUGCAAAUGAACUUAUUAACUCAACUCCGAAAUACAUAGACAGCUUAUGUCCUAUGCCUUCUUUAACAGGUAGGGGACUAUAAUCAAUUCAUAAAAAGUCGUUAAGUCACCUUCUUGCUGAGUUUUUCCACCAAGCAGACCUGAGAUAGAAGUCCAACCUUAAACCUAAUUUCACUUCAAGUACUAAAAACAAGUAAGUGGGAUCCCGCCUAGGCAAUUCAAUAGAAAUACAUUAGGUGUUUUCCCUCAUUGACUAUUUUCUUAAAAGGAAAGACAAAAGGGGGUGACAAGACCAGCGCAGCACGCCCGACUGGAAUAUUGACUAUCCCGUAGAACAGAACUGACCUAGUCACUCGUUAAGGAGCUGGUAAUCAUGGAAUAUAGUAUAUGUAGGUUUAGGUCUUCCUAGAGCGAAGCCACAUGUGUUUUAUACGUUCUGAUCCGACAUUAAGAAUGAUUUACUUCACUUCAUCCGCGAGUAAGGAUAGCCCAUUACGAGGUUCCGUUUCAAGGGAACAGUCUCAAGCGCGAGUCAAUCAGUAUCUGGGUGCGAGUGCGGUUAAAAGCGGUUCCAUUAUCUUUUCCGUUCUGGUUUUGUAUCCGAUAUAAGCCGAAUGCAAGUAAGGGUAAGGCGAGAAAUCAAUAAGGGAGUUUCACCUGGAAAGAUAGAGCAGGGUAUAAAGCUUUCACCGCUAAGUCUCAAGAGAGGAUUGAGCUCGAGAAUCAGAAUCCGCUGUUACCCUGUUGAGUGAGACUUUGAUACAGUAAUUUCAUUAUGACUUUUUGCCGAGAAUAAUCCGUAGAAAGAUGAAGUUUCGAGUGGUGGCGAAAAGAAGCUAGUUGAGUAUAGUAUGGGAGAAGAAUCCUGAGAAGAAUGCAAGAUAAGUAGAACAAGCAACGGCUACUAGAAACUCAUAUUCUCACAUUAAACAAGUAACGAACGACUAAACUGUACCUGAAAGAAGCAACAGUGCACUCUCCUUAAAAUCAGCUAGCAAAGGAGCCGGAAUCAAAAAACUCAUUUAUGGUUUCGGGGCGCAAGUCAGCUACAAGCGGUUCUAAAUUAGUUGUCGACUCUAAAUCGGGGUCAGGAUCCGUGCCAAAGUAAGCAGGAAGUCGUUCUUGAUUGAGUAGAAAGAUAAGGAGCAGUGUAUCUACUCGCUUCUAUAUCUUGAAAGUAAGCUAACACAUUAUCCCUUCCACAAAGCCAGGAAAGUCAAAGAAUAGAAUAUAAGAUUGGCACCCAGCUUUCGAUACGGCUGCUACUACUUCACUGCCCUAACUCAGUUGCUUGUUUUGUUCUAAAGCCCUAACUCAGUUGCUUGUUUAGUUCUAGAAUAAGAUAAGUAUUUGGGGUGGGAGCUGGUCUACUGGUCUAUGUUAUUAGGCAUCAAUGCACUAUAAGAGCCGAUAGAUUGUUGAGUUUCUGGGGGAAUUUUCCAUUCCAUGAGUAGCGGUGCGAGUUCCACUAUCAGCAAGCUGGUUCGAUUCUUGGUGUUCUAGCUCAAAGGCUGUUGCGCAAAGUGAAUGAGUGCUAUCCCAUAGAAAUCGGGGAUUGAAUGCGAAGGCUCAAGUAAGAGGAACAAGCUAGUCUGAUUCAUAAGAAAGGGAAGCGGUAAGUCUAUUCGUUGCUUGUUUAGUGCUCCUGUCUGAGGGAAGUAUCAAGGAGCAGGCGCAAAGAGGUCAUUUGCAAGCGAUAAGGCAGUAGUUGACUCUAAGCUAACGGGAGUAAACUACACUUCCAGUCUUGUUUCGGGUACUUUUGUGCUUGUGUAGAUGGAAGCGCUUGUUAAGUCUAGUCGGUUCUAGUUUCAUCAGAUACAUAAGCAGUUUCAAGAUAGGAAGCCGAGCCAAGAGAAUCAACUGUUUCAUAAGCCUACUUAUAUGAAUCAGCAAGUGCAACGUCUCCAACAGAGGUGAGUGGCUCUAAGUCUAAGUAAGGAGUAAGCUUAGCAGUUGAGUAUCAAGGUUCAGUUCCAGUGUCAUCUACGAUUUAAUCAGAGGCGGAAGGGAAGGAAUCCUUUUUCGAAUGCCCAAAUAGCUGUGUUGGUUACGAGCCGAGCAAGGGUCUUGCGGAGAUAGGUCAUUGGCCAAAGUCUACAUCAGCAAGAGAAGAGAGCCUAAUUCAGCAAGUCCUAAUUUCACUCUACAGGCAGAGAGAAGCUGCCACAUUAUUCUCAGGUUUACGCGUCUAAUAUAAUACUAAGAAAUCAAUUAGCUAGUCUAAGAAUUCCACCUCUUUCUCGUCAACCCAGGUAGGGCAUCCAGGACAUACCAGGUUCUACCAGGGCCCAAUCAUAGUAUAAAGAGGAGUUUUCUUGCGGAACGCACUAAUAAUCAAUCCAUCAAAGCCGCAGUAAAGUCAAUAAUGAAAAGGAAUGAAUCAAUUGACUGCUUAUUUACAGCUAAAGCCCUAAUCCUAAGUCCCGAGAGGAGCGAAGAUGCCAUGGUGAAUUCUCAUUCUGCUGCUGACUUAGCGGUUACUACUGACUGACUUGAUACUGCUGAUUAUCCUUAUUAUGCUUUAACACCAUCUUUAGAGUUCUUUCCUUCCUCAGUAGUUGCUCGGCAGUGCCGCUAGUCAAUUGAAAGUGUGUCUCUCGACCCCGAGUUUAGUCUAUCUAUUUCGUAUGAGAGGAAAUGAAAAAGGGGGAGAACUAACAGAAGCUUACUUGUUUUCGUACUUCCCCCCUACCCUAGAGAAGAAUCAAAGGCAGAAGAUGAAUCUGCGUCAGCGCCAGUGAAUUCUCCGAGAUCAGUAGAAGAAACAGAAUCCGGGGCCAUAUCCGAUGCUCUAUCCGGAGUAGGAGAUCCGUUGGCAAGAUACUUAACUGCUUAUUCUCUUUGCAACUUGCCUGGAACUUAACCUUUCCACUUCUACUCUAUUGUACCCAAUUGUUAAUCUUUAUGCACUAUAUCCUUUAUUCUUAUACCCUAUUUAGUAGUCUUCUACUUAUACUUAUUCUACUUACUUGUCUAAUUCAAUUAUGCCCUAUUCUUUCUUAGUAGAGGUCUCUAUAAUAAGUUGUUGCGGUAAACCCUUGACUACUUUAGCCAACACCGAGAUAUUGAACUGCUUCAGAUGACACUAAAGUAAGCUCUUAUUCUUGUGCCGAGUCAAAGUAGUUGCGAGUAGCUUGGACCCUAACAUAUACAGAUUUCAAAUAAUGCAUUUACAUUAGAUAGAAGUGGAUAACAAAAGAAAUAGGUACCGAGUCAUGUGUUUGGGCACCCGUUUCCCUUCCUAGGCAAUGUAGCUAAUGUCACUAAUUUCAUAGCCAGAGGAGAGGCUCCAUGAAUUAAGGGCACCAACCCUAGCUUGUAUUGAAUUCAACUCGAAACUCCUCACUCAGGUAUUAUACGUCACUCUAAACUCUUGCUUGUUGGGCUCUUCCGGAGGUAAAGAAGAAUCCCGCUCUUUCGAUGGUCGGAUACUAGGUGUACUCGCCUCUGAAGGGAGAUUGUACUCGUCCCUGUCCGCUUUGAAUGUUGGUUUGGAGUGGAGGUACUCUCAAUCCCUAUCAGUGGUUAGCAGUCCUCGUGAACCCCAGAUGGAAUGUAUUCUGGGGAAGUAGUAGGAAAACCAGAGUUCUUAGAGCGUACCUGGCGGAAUGGUUGGAUGCAGGUAUGGGCGCUCUUGUCUCACGUUCGGAUAGUUUCCGAUAUGUCCAACUCCCUCCUGUCCAUGCUCUAACUUCGUUUAGUGCUUUGUUCUCCCUUUAGGGUCAAUGUCGAUCCUGAGAUCCAACGCUUUGGCCUAAUGUGGUAGGGCACGCACGACAGCUUUCUCUAGCGACGAGUCGAGAAGAAGGUUCGAAGAACGCAUAAGAGUGAUAACCAACACCAACCCACCCUUCUGUAUAACCUAUUAACAUUUGUGAAGCGGCUGGAUGCAUAAGGGAAGUCAACCCGAGUGAACCGACCUUCGGGACUUAUUCGAACGAUCCGGAUGUCUUCCUCUGGAUUGGAAAUAGACUCCUGUAAGUAGACCCCCUAUACUCAAGCUUGCACUGAUACCACACAGCUUCAGAAGCCAGUCCUUUUUUUGGUAUUCAUGGCGGCAGGAGCGGUUCCGUAAGUAAAGGAAUGCGCUCGCUAUUAUGUAUUAUGGCCCUUAGAUCUAUCCCUAUUCUUCUCCAGACACUCACUCCUUUGCGGCGGUAAGCUUGUCUCUGUUACUACUGAGUUAGGAGUUAGAAUACCAAUACCAGAGUCCGGAGUAACUGAGCAAGAGGCUAAAGAUGUUAGGAAGAAAUGCAUUUAUUGAACAGGGAAGACAAAGCGGAUGAGAUAUAUAACUCCCGAGCAAAAUGAAACCACUUAAAGACCUUUUUUGAGGCAGGGAAUGAGGCCACGGAGCAGAGGAGAACAACCAAACUACAUGAGAACAGAACUCUUCUCUUAUCAAUAGGAAUAUCAUCCUUUUUGAGCAUCUAUUACUUCAUCAUGCAGAAUAGGAACGAUUUCAAUGAUACCAAUAGUACGCAGAGUCACUUUUUUCUUUCGCACUGCUUAUAUACUAAACAUGCUUCUUGGAUUUGUCAGUUCAUCAUUGAAUUGUUGUGGAAAGAGCUCCGUUAGCUAAAGAACAAGGCUUCUUAUCAAAGAAACUGAGAUUCGGCUCCUGCUGAGAAUCUUUUUGAUGCUGGUUAUCUGCAUACUGAGUAUCAUCCUCAUCCUAAACAACUGAACUUUGAUGCUUGGACCACUUAGCGCUGAAGAAGCACUGCAUUAUAGUUAAGGCUCUACAGGACGAGAUCCACUUGCUUUUGCUACCCUGACUCGAGACUGUUCCGCUUAACUACUGAGUGGGCAUUCGAAAAGGGAUUCGGCUUCCACUUCUAUAUACUUGGACACUGAAUCACUUACAGCAACACCUGCUUUGCUUACCGCAUCGAACUGACUUAAGUGACUGAUUGACUUAGUGCUGAAGGAAGAACUGAAAUGAGAGUACAACCAACUCGGGGGGAGAGCUAAGGAAGGUAAUAAUCUCGGUAAAGGCAAUCGAGUAUUAAUAAGUUCGAAAGGUCUUGUCUGUGUUAAUAUUAGGUCACGCCAAAAGAAAGAGAACGAGCGUAAGGAGCAAGCCAAGUCAAAAGAAGAGAAAUAAGUAGUAAGCCAGUGUUUUACCUUAUGACAGAAGAGGUCAACUAAGAAUCUUAUGUAGAGUAAGGAGUAAGAACUCAGUAAGCGCAAUAAACAAGCAACAGAGAAAGAAAGAGUGAUAGGUGAAGCAACAGAAUCAAACAAGCUACGGGUAGAUAGUGAUAGUUAAGUACUAUACAUACAUAUAGGGUUAGGGGCUCGGCUCCCUCUAGCUUAAUGAAGGAGAGUCAAGGAGUGAGUUUCACAGGGGUGCCUCUAUGAUAGAUAUGAGUUUAGUUUGGAAGCAAUGCAGUAAGAACUCGCGUAAGCCGAACACCAAAGAAGAGAGUUCGAGCAAACAAGUAUUUUAGUAAAGGAGAUCAGUAAGUCUAAACUAUUGUAUAGUAAAAGAGAACAGCUCGUUCAUUCGAGUAGGCUGGCAGUAGUUCCAUCAAAGUAUCUAGUAGCCGGAGUAGAUGUGUUGUGUUGUAUCAAGGACCUACUUACUUAAUACGCAAAGCCAAGAGAACCUAAAGAAACCCGGAACUUAUAGACUAGAAUUGCUCGCCCGCUAAGAAAGCCUUCACCCCUUUGUCCUUCGAAACUCACUUUAGCUAUAGUAUUUUGCACUGUUACUUGUUAUGUUACGUAACUCCGUAAGCUUAAGUAGCUCGGAACUCACGUAAGCCGAACACAGGACUCAAAAGAAGUUGAAGCGCAGCCUAGCAACUAGCAACUAAGCUUGGCGGGCAAACU